rnacentral:lncRNA from 1 species
AGUAAAUUCAACUUUUUAAGAAAAAAUAAUCACUACAUCUGAUUAACAUGGACUUUUCAAUAAUUAUUGUUUUUGACCUUUUACUUUAGUGAAAAUCUUAUAGAAAAUAAAGGAUAAAAGGAAAAAAUUGUAUUUUUGUUUUUGUUGUUAACUUUUGAGAAUGAACAUAUAUUCUGAGACAUCUCAAAAAUAAUAUAAUAAAAAUCAACAAUAUGCCACGGGACAGUAUGAUUUUAGCAACAUCACCUUCUGAAUUUUCCUCCAGUAUCCUCGGUUCCAACCUCUCAAAACUAUUAAUCAAACUGUCCCAUUGCCUCUUCUUCUGCCUCUCUGACGCGUUUUCCCGAAGUCCUGCGCUGUGCAUCGAUGUACCUGGAAUUGAACGACGGGGGCAGUUGAGACCCUAGUCAUUUCAAUAGUAAAAAUCGGGCAACCGGGCGCACGAAGGUCUCGGACUCCGAAACAACACUCUCGUGUGCCUCUUGAAACAUGUAAUUGCGGCGAGCACAAGAGAGUGAAGCAGCUCAUCUCCCGUUCGAACAGAUUCUUCGGGAACCUGGAUUUUCCGGGCAGUUUGGCAACCCAUGGGAGACUUUGUCUGCUAUUUGCAACUUGGGCACGGUUCGAGCUGCCCUGUAAUCGCUCGAACGGUUGUUGCACACAACUCCAUUCCGAUAGAAAAUUCUUUAGUAAGUCAUAAGGGGAUGGUCCUCGAUCGGACGGAUUCGCAUCCCUCUGGUAUGCGACCUCUGUAUCAGGAACGGGACAGAAGGAGCGGAGGGGGAGUCCGGCAGAGGCGGUUCGGUGGAUGGUCGGGCGGAUGCUGGCAGCCAAUGAGCGUGUGGUGUAUGAGCUGGUGUUAGUGCCCGUGGUGGACUAGUAAUGUGGCCCAUUUCCUACCUAGGGAUGACGUGACCGGGGGACAUGAGAGGGAAUAGAACAAAGUGUAGGUGGUGAUGGUGGUCGUUGUUGAGUGAAUGCAGGUGUCUUUGACCCCUGGAGGCAGCCUAGUCGUGCCUCGCGAGCGUCGCGUUUCAUUGUGCCCGCCUUCUGUCUUUGUUCUGAACCUCGACACUUGACUCUCUUUUGCCCUCUGCUCUUGAUUACCAUUUGCAGACUGAGUCCCCGGUCUUCCCUCUCCGUGCAAUUUUCUUCUCUGUCUGCCACUCUCUUUUGAACCUGUUGUCAUGUCAGCAGCCUACAUGAGCACAGGAUUCUUUUUCCUUUAAUAAAUAAUAUGUUAUAUAUUUUUUUUUCAAGAAGGAUGGCACGUGGUUUUAAACAUCACUCUCGUUUGAAUUUUGGUCAACUAUGCGUUUUUAGCCACUAGAUGUUGUGCAACCGAAUUGCUGGUUUUACACGACACUCUCCAAUAAACAACUGGUAAAUCCAAAAGUAGGACAGUUCAACAGUUCAUAUUAAAUAUAGUAAAAUGCUAAUUAACUUACUAAUUACUGCUAAAUAUGUAUAAGUAACAACUGUUUCAACCAACAUGGUAAAAACAAUGUCUAUAAAGUCUAUUAAAAGUGUCUUCCAUCGGCGUGUGCCGUGUGGUGGUUUAGCGGACCCCCGUUGAAAGGUGUACCAUGGUUAGCAAUCAACGUUAAAUAUUUUGUAUGCAUAUUUUUUGAUCUAAUUUUGGGUAAGGCGAAAAGAAUGAUGGGAAAUAAGUUUAAUGAGAUGGGAAAUAAGUAUUUUUUUUACCUUUUUCUUUUCCUUUCUUUUAACGGUGAGGUCAGGAGAAAUUAAGAGAAAGUAAAAUAACCCUAAUGUUACAAAAAUAUGAACUUUAUUCCAUUUAUUUGGGAUCGUAAAAUAUCAACUUUUAUAUUUAGUGUUUCUCCACAUAAAGACAGAUUUAGUUGUCCCUAAUUAAAAUUACCCUUUUCAUAAUUCUUUCUUUCUGUGACUUGAAAAACGAAACAUUGACAUCUCUAGAUUGCACUUUUCUCUUCUUCUUUUAUUUUAGGAAAUGGUAAUCAUUACACCUCCAUACCUUUCACGUGGGCGACACUUCUCCGAGCCCACACUGAUAAUUUCGAUUAUUUUGCUCAUAAAGUUUCUUGGUAAGAAUAAAAUCACAUGUACUUACCAGCGCUAUCCGGCUAGGGAGAAUUGCCCACAAUGUUUGUCUCCAUACCACGAGCUCGGUGGGUCUCUAAGUUGGAUCUCGAUCGAGACGCAACACAGCUUGGCAACUGCGACCCAAGGAACAUCAGGGGAACAGAGGAUAACUUACACGUCAGGGUCCUUCUAGCAGGCCCCCACGCCUGAAUCAAACCUCGACGACCAUGAGUGACUAAGCUACAACUAAGGUCCUAGAGGAAUGGUUUGGGUCAUCAGUUACCUCGCUGACACAACCGUCAUGUGUUCAGCCCACGCGUCGAGCUGCAGACUGUUCAGUUACGUGACAGUUGGACGCGCCAGACUGAACUAUAUAUGGCCAGGCUUUAUGCUUUCAGAGGUAUGCGAAUUUAGCUCCAAGAAGCUGACACACACUCUCUCUCUACAACAUUGAUUCUCUGGUCAUCUAACUUGACCUCGGAGAGUCGUUUCCUAAAAAUAACUCCGGCGUCCUAACUCCCCCGUUUUUUUUUGUGGUCGCGCUAGGCAUUCGCACAAACCGGCAAUCGUUUGUAGCCACCACUAUACCACCGCGGGUGUCUAUUCUCGAUUUUCUUUCUUCUAACUCUCAAACAUUAUACCCCAUAAUUGGCACUGUUUGUGAAAAAUUUUGUAGUGAAAAUAUAUUUUAUAUAUAAAGAUGUGUUUAUAAAAUUGGUAAUGGGUUCAUAUAUUAUUUCAAACACUUAGAAUGUAAUAGAUCUAAGUAUUACUUGUACCAAGUAAUAUUGUUUAUAAAUAAUCAAAGAUCUAUACAAUUUCAAAUUUGAUCUUAAAAAUGUCAUUAAUCAAUCAUAGACAACCAUUGAAACCAUGUUGAAAGAGAGAAGAAAUUAGUUCAAAUUAAGGUUUAGAAUGUGACGUAGUUCUUGAAGCAAACCAAUAAAUUUUAGCCCCCUCCCACGGAAUAGAGAGUGUUUCGUCUAUGUGCAAGCUAAUUAAAGUAAGAGAAACUAACAUGAAAUUAAGAAAGAGCUGGAAAAAAAUAGUAUAGUAUUAAUGGAAAAGUCUGUAAAAUUAAAUAAGGAAAAACUUACAAUCAUUAAGUGAAGGAAUAGAAUCCGAAUGAAAAAAUAUAAAAAUGGAACCUCAAAACUAUCUAAUCUAAUAUAAUUCUAAAACUAGACUAAAAAUGAAAGUUAUCUUCACUUAAAAAACACUAAAGCGAUGUAUGGAGGACCCCCCUCUACUGUGAAAGAGAGCCCCACUUCUAUACUAAAGUGAGAGAGAGCUCCCCACUCUUUAGAAAAAUGUCACAGAAAAAGUCCUAUAAAAUCUCUUUUUGUAUGGAGGGAGGUUCCCUUUUCUAGAGUGAGAGAGGACCCUCCUUUUUGACCCCCAUUUUCUUCUUAUUAACUGGUUUCUCCAACUGCUUCUGCAGUAGUUGCCUCUAUGUCAAAAGCAACUAAAGUAUCUAACUUUGCCCACCAACCCAUAUCAUUUCUGACCUUGCUAGGAGCUAUCUGGACAUGUGAUCAACAACCAUCUAUGCUCCAACGGUUUGGAGCUUGAAAGUCUCAAGACGGUUUGAACUUAACUUGGUUUGGCCUCUAAUCAUUGCCUUCAACAGUUGAACUUUAGGUUAAGAUCGAUCGGUUGAAUUUUCUCUGAUCUCUCUAAUUGCUCUUUUUGACCUGCAAAAAUUAUUUUAAAUUCACUGCCCGCCAAAACAAGUGGUUAAUUGAAGAUAAUAUGCAAUAAUGCUAAAAUACGAAAGAAAGUUUUUAAUUGAUAAAAUGCAAUUUAAACUGUGUGAAUCACACACCCCGACUUGAGUUUGCUCGUUCCUUAGCAACUAGAAAUAGCUUCGGAAUUUCUACCGCAUAGCUGUGGGCAACUCUUCCUUGGAUCGCAGCAGCGGAAGAUCCAGUUUCAUCUUUCGGCGGAUAGCUGAAUCCAAUUUGGAUUGCUCUCCAGGAACUGAUUUUCUUUUGGACUUUCUUAAUCUAAGAGGGAUUGUUGCUUCAUGACGGUCCGAGAUUAGUUGUAAGCUCUCUGAAGGCUGCUGCCCAAAACAAACCCAAAGAAAUCGAUACGUGUUUCACCAAUAUAUAACUAACUAAAAACGCUAGGGUAAUAACAUCCUUACUGAACCUAUUGCCAAAUCACUUAGAAGGUUUUGAUACCCGUUUUGAGAUAACUCCUCCUAAUUACUAGGUCUCGCAAAGGCCAACAACGUCUUAGGGCAUAACUGCCUGUGCAAAAGGCCAGUUGGUAUUCACGGGUCAUUGGCAAAAUAAGCACGGUAAACCUGCCAUGUCGAGCAUCCGGCAGUAACAAAAUCAGGCUUUCACGGCUCGAUGAGCGCACUAGAGGACGGGAGGAACGCUGAGCCCGUUUUCCCCUUAUGCUUUUGCUUCUUCGAGGGACCCCCAGUAAGUUACUUCCCUUUGCUCUUAUAUAAAGGGGGGCCUCUGAUAAGCUCAACUCGACCUCACUAAGAGUAGCAGCAGCCAAGACGGGCUGCGAAGACGGUGGUGAGACUUGAACGGCUAGAGGUUUUGGCCAACACGCAGUUAACCAACCCCUGCAAAUCAUCUUACUAUGGCCCAGGGUCUGAACUUGGGCCAGAUUCACCUCGCUCUAGCUUGUACCCCUACCGCCCUGCGCCUUCUAAUGGACAGGCGAUCAAGUCCUCACCCAUAGGGCUCGAGCUCAAAGAGAAAGCAAGGUCGUCAGAAUCUUCAAUGUGCCACUCCAAACCAGAAUGGAGACAACAACUGGAACUGCGGGGAGGCAAUAGGUUGUCCUCUUCUCCUCGUGUUCAGCACUAGCUGGUUGACCUCCUCUUCUUCUUCCUCAUUGUUUGAAGAAUUAGACGAAACGAAGCUGGACGAGCUUGAAGACCGACAACAUGAUUGACUAAGCUACUAACC